rnacentral:misc_RNA from 1 species
GUGAGUCAUCGAAUCUUUGAACGCACAUUGCGCCCGCCAGUAUUCUGGCGGGCAUGCCUGUUCGAGCGUCAUUUCAACCAUCAAGCCCCGGGCUUGUGUUGGGGACCUGCGGCUGCCGCAGGCCCUGAAAACCAGUGGCGGGCUCGCUAGUCACUCCGAGCGUAGUAGUUUACACCUCGCUCAGGGCGUGCUGCGGGUUCCGGCCGUUAAAAGCCUUAUUUUACCCAAGGUUGACCUCGGAUCAGGUAGGAAGACCCGCUGAACUUAAGCAUAUCAAUAAGCGGAGGA